rnacentral:rRNA from 1 species
UACAGAGGGUGCGAGCGUUGUCCGGAAUUACUGGGCGUAAAGGGCGCGUAGGCGGCCUGAUAAGUAGGGGGUGAAAUUCCAUGGCUCAACCAUGGAUCGGCCUUCUAGACUGUCAGGCUUGAGCACGGUAGAGGCAGAUGGAAUUCCCGGUGUAGCGGUGGAAUGCGUAGAGAUCGGGAAGAACACCAGUGGCGAAGGCGGUCUGCUGGGCCGUUGCUGACGCUGAGGCGCGACAGCGUGGGGAGCAAACAGG